rnacentral:misc_RNA from 1 species
UCCGGUUUGUCACCGGCAGUCUCCCUAGAGUGCCCUUGCGUAGCAACUAGGGACAAGGGUUGCGCUCGUUGCGGGACUUAACCCAACAUCUCACGACACGAGCUGACGACAGCCAUGCAGCACCUGUGCUAGAGUCCCGAAGGAGGGCCCUGCUUUCACCCGCUUUAACUAGCAUGUCAAACCCAGGUAAGGUUCUUCGCGUUGCAUCGAAUUAAGCCACAUGCUCCGCCGCUUGUGCGGGCCCCCGUCAAUUCCUUUGAGUUUCAGUCUUGCGACCGUACUCCCCAGGCGGCGAACUUAACGCGUUAGCUUCGAUACUGAGUGCCUAGUUGCACCCAACAUCCAGUUCGCAUCGUUUAGGGCGUGGACUAC